GGACUGGUAGCUGAGACGGUGUAGCGGCGGUCUGAAGAACCGCAGAGGAGGGUUCGAGCACCUCCCAGUCCAC
rnacentral:tRNA from 1 species